CCUGCCCCCUCCCCCGGGAUAGCCGCCCGAAAGGACGGGUAAUACCGGAUACCCCCGGGCGCCGCAUGGCGCCCGGGCUAAAGCCCCGACGGGAGGGGAUGGCUCCGCGGCCCAUCAGGUAGACGGCGGGGUGACGGCCCACCGUGCCGACAACGGGUAGCCGGGUUGAGAGACCGACCGGCCAGAUUGGGACUGAGACACGGCCCAGACUCCUACGGGAGGCAGCAGUGGGGAAUCUUGCGCAAUGGGGGGAACCCUGACGCAGCGACGCCGCGUGCGGGACGGAGGCCUUCGGGUCGUAAACCGCUUUCAGCAGGGAAGAGUCAAGACUGUACCUGCAGAAGAAGCCCCGGCUAACUACGUGCCAGCAGCCGCGGUAAUACGUAGGGGGCGAGCGUUAUCCGGAUUCAUUGGGCGUAAAGCGCGCGUAGGCGGCCCGGCAGGCCGGGGGUCGAAGCGGGGGGCUCAACCCCCCGAAGCCCCCGGAACCUCCGCGGCUUGGGUCCGGUAGGGGAGGGUGGAACACCCGGUGUAGCGGUGGAAUGCGCAGAUAUCGGGUGGAACACCGGUGGCGAAGGCGGCCCUCUGGGCCGAGACCGACGCUGAGGCGCGAAAGCUGGGGGAGCGAACAGGAUUAGAUACCCUGGUAGUCCCAGCCGUAAACGAUGGACGCUAGGUGUGGGGGGACGAUCCCCCCGUGCCGCAG
rnacentral:rRNA from 1 species